rnacentral:rRNA from 1 species
UGUGAGCUCGAUGAGUAGGGCGGGACACGUGGUAUCCUGUCUGAAUAUGGGGGGACCAUCCUCCAAGGCUAAAUACUCCUGACUGACCGAUAGUGAACCAGUACCGUGAGGGAAAGGCGAAAAGAACCCCGGCGAGGGGAGUGAAAAAGAACCUGAAACCGUGUACGUACAAGCAGUGGGAGCACGCUUAGGCGUGUGACUGCGUACCUUUUGUAUAAUGGGUCAGCGACUUAUAUUCUGUAGCAAGGUUAACCGAAUAGGGGAGCCGAAGGGAAACCGAGUCUUAACUGGGCGUUAAGUUGCAGGGUAUAGACCCGAAACCCGGUGAUCUAGCCAUGGGCAGGUUGAAGGUUGGGUAACACUAACUGGAGGACCGAACCGACUAAUGUUGAAAAAUUAGCGGAUGACUUGUGGCUGGGGGUGAAAGGCCAAUCAAACCGGGAGAUAGCUGGUUCUCCCCGAAAGCUAUUUAGGUAGCGCCUCGUGAAUUCAUCUCCGGGGGUAGAGCACUGUUUCGGCAAGGGGGUCAUCCCGACUUACCAACCCGAUGCAAACUGCGAAUACCGGAGAAUGUUAUCACGGGAGACACACGGCGGGUGCUAACGUCCGUCGUGAAGAGGGAAACAACCCAGACCGCCAGCUAAGGUCCCAAAGUCAUGGUUAAGUGGGAAACGAUGUGGGAAGGCCCAGACAGCCAGGAUGUUGGCUUAGAAGCAGCCAUCAUUUAAAGAAAGCGUAAUAGCUCACUGGUCGAGUCGGCCUGCGCGGAAGAUGUAACGGGGCUAAACCAUGCACCGAAGCUGCGGCAGCGACACUGUGUGUUGUUGGGUAGGGGAGCGUUCUGUAAGCCUGCGAAGGUGUGCUGUGAGGCAUGCUGGAGGUAUCAGAAGUGCGAAUGCUGACAUAAGUAACGAUAAAGCGGGUGAAAAGCCCGCUCGCCGGAAGACCAAGGGUUCCUGUCCAACGUUAAUCGGGGCAGGGUGAGUCGACCCCUAAGGCGAGGCCGAAAGGCGUAGUCGAUGGGAAACAGGUUAAUAUUCCUGUACUUGGUGUUACUGCGAAGGGGGGACGGAGAAGGCUAUGUUGGCCGGGCGACGGUUGUCCCGGUUUAAGCGUGUAGGCUGGUUUUCCAGGCAAAUCCGGAAAAUCAAGGCUGAGGCGUGAUGACGAGGCACUACGGUGCUGAAGCAACAAAUGCCCUGCUUCCAGGAAAAGCCUCUAAGCAUCAGGUAACAUCAAAUCGUACCCCAAACCGACACAGGUGGUCAGGUAGAGAAUACCAAGGCGCUUGAGAGAACUCGGGUGAAGGAACUAGGCAAAAUGGUGCCGUAACUUCGGGAGAAGGCACGCUGAUAUGUAGGUGAAGUCCCUCGCGGAUGGAGCUGAAAUCAGUCGAAGAUACCAGCUGGCUGCAACUGUUUAUUAAAAACACAGCACUGUGCAAACACGAAAGUGGACGUAUACGGUGUGACGCCUGCCCGGUGCCGGAAGGUUAAUUGAUGGGGUCAGCGCAAGCGAAGCUCUUGAUCGAAGCCCCGGUAAACGGCGGCCGUAACUAUAACGGUCCUAAGGUAGCGAAAUUCCUUGUCGGGUAAGUUCCGACCUGCACGAAUGGCGUAAUGAUGGCCAGGCUGUCUCCACCCGAGACUCAGUGAAAUUGAACUCGCUGUGAAGAUGCAGUGUACCCGCGGCAAGACGGAAAGACCCCGUGAACCUUUACUAUAGCUUGACACUGAACAUUGAGCCUUGAUGUGUAGGAUAGGUGGGAGGCUUUGAAGUGUGGACGCCAGUCUGCAUGGAGCCGACCUUGAAAUACCACCCUUUAAUGUUUGAUGUUCUAACGUGGACCCGUAAUCCGGGUUGCGGACAGUGUCUGGUGGGUAGUUUGACUGGGGCGGUCUCCUCCUAAAGAGUAACGGAGGAGCACGAAGGUUGGCUAAUCCUGGUCGGACAUCAGGAGGUUAGUGCAAUGGCAUAAGCCAGCUUGACUGCGAGCGUGACGGCGCGAGCAGGUGCGAAAGCAGGUCAUAGUGAUCCGGUGGUUCUGAAUGGAAGGGCCAUCGCUCAACGGAUAAAAGGUACUCCGGGGAUAACAGGCUGAUACCGCCCAAGAGUUCAUAUCGACGGCGGUGUUUGGCACCUCGAUGUCGGCUCAUCACAUCCUGGGGCUGAAGUAGGUCCCAAGGGUAUGGCUGUUCGCCAUUUAAAGUGGUACGCGAGCUGGGUUUAGAACGUCGUGAGACAGUUCGGUCCCUAUCUGCCGUGGGCGCUGGAGAACUGAGGGGGGCUGCUCCUAGUACGAGAGGACCGGAGUGGACGCAUCACUGGUGUUCGGGUUGUCAUGCCAAUGGCACUGCCCGGUAGCUAAAUGCGGAAGAGAUAAGUGCUGAAAGCAUCUAAGCACGAAACUUGCCCCGAGAUGAGUUCUCCCUGACUCCUUGAGAGUCCUGAAGGAACGUUGAAGACGACGACGUUGAUAGGCCGGGUGUGUAAGCGCAGCGAUGCGUUGAGCUAACCGGUACUAAUGAACCGUGAGGCUUAACCUUACAACGCCGAAGGUGUUU